GCGAAUGUAGCUCAGUUGGUAGAGCAUCAGCUUCCCAAGCUGAGGGUCGCGGGUUCGAGCCCCGUUAUUCGCU
rnacentral:tRNA from 1 species